rfam:Capsicum annuum cultivar Zunla-1 chromosome 3, whole genome shotgun sequence
GAGAGCGGUACAACGGAGAGUUGUAUGCUGCGUUCGGGAAGGAUGAAUCACUCCCAAAAAGAAAUCUAUUAAUUAUCUACUAAUUGGUUGGACCGUAGGUAUGAUGAUUUACUUCAU